UUCCUGAUGGUCUGGUGGUUAGGACUGAGCGCUUUCACUGCUGAGGGCCCAAGUUCAAUCCCUGGUUGGGGAA
rnacentral:tRNA from 1 species